GAGGACUCGGAUUUAAGAGUUGACAUCUUAAUAAUACUCUUUAUUGGUGGAGUACAGAAAGUUUUAUUGACCAGGCUAAAAAAUCUAUAAUAUGAAUACCAUCAUAUUUUCCACGUACACUGUUGUAAUGUAACAGUUCUAAAACCAUUCUAAGCUCUUUCAAGUAAGGAUGCUAUAUAAAUACAGAUUGGUAAUAUUAUUACAGUCCCCCAUUUCUUUCCCACCACUGACAGUUUCUUGGACAAGUAUUCACAUUUAUCUUCCACUAGCACCCAAACUCCCAAGAAAUGAGAAAGAAAAAAAUCAAGUGCUUGGAGAAUUGACCAUUGUCUAUAACUUUACUGUUAUCACAUGCUGCUAAUUUCAGGAGGGUAAACAAAGUAGAAUAAAACAAAACAACAGUUGAUGGAUGGAAUGUACUCAGAUUCAAAAUGCUUGACAUCCCAUGUAAUGAGCCACUUCUGGCAGUAUAGUGCCUGAAUUCUUGGAUUCAGAAAUUACAUUACUUUAGAAGGAUGCCAUAGAUUCAUUUUGAUUACAUAAUUUACUGAGCAAAGGAGUACUCUUGAUACUUUAAAAAUAUUAUUGGAUUUCAUGAGUGGUUGUUAUACUUCAUUAAUGCAAGUUAUGUCCUAUGCCAUAAUUACAUCAUGCUAUGCCUAUUUUAUUAAGUCAAUUCUAGAUGGCAGGAAUGGUUUCAAUUUAACUAAGCUUUUUAGAGCACGUGCUUCAUCAGGUCUUUUAUACUUUCCAGCCUUUGUUUAUAUCUGAAUUUCAUUGCAUUCAAUCUUUGUUGUAAGCGGGUCUAAUGAAUGUAUAUAUAUGCAUAUUUUUCUCCCCCAUUUCACUCUUAUUCAUUUAAUUAGUUCAGAUGAUCCCUGACUUAUGAUGGUUUGACUUAACAAUUUUUCAGUUUUGCAAUGGGCUUAUUAGGACAUAACCCCAUCAUAAGUUGAAGAUCAUCUGGACUUACAAUGGUUCAACUUACAAUUUUUUGGCUUUGUGCUGGGUUUAUUGGGGCAUUAAAUGUGUCUUCAACUUAUGCUAUUUUCAACCUAGGGUGGGUUGAAAUUGGGACAUUGCCCCAUUGCAAGUUGAGAAGCACCUGCCUUUGUUGAAAAGGUACUAAGUAAGCAGCACUGUGCGAGCUGCCCUGGGGUCUUCUAUGGUUUGGAUAUGUUCCCCAUAAAGCAUGUGUUGGAAACUUAAUCUCCCAUGCAACAGUGUUGAGAGAUGGGACCUUUAAAAGGUGGUUAGGUCAAGGGUUUAGUCCUCAUGCAUGCAUUAAUGCCAUUAUCUUGCAAGUGGGUUAGUUACUGCAGGAGAGGGUUAGUUAUUGUGGGAAUGGGCUCCUGAUGAAAGGAGAAUAACAUUGGCCUCCUCUCUUUCUUGCACACACAUGCUGUUUCGCCCUUCCACCUUCUGCCAUGAGAUGACACAGCAAGAAGGCCCUCGCCAGAUGUGGGCCCCUUGACCUUGGACUUCCCAGCUUCCAGAACUGUAAGAAAUAAAUAUCUGUUCUUUAUAAAUUACCCAGUCCCAGUUAUUCCAUUAUGGCUGCACAAAAUUAACUAAGACAGGGUCCUACCUUGUGCAUACCCUUCCCCACCACCAAUCUGCGUUUCUGGCUGUUAGCUCAUUUCUGUCCUGCUGUCCUCUAACUUUGUGGCUAGACUUGGAUACAUAUCUAAGAUUGAUUCCCUUUGUCCAUCCUUGGUAACUUAGAGGCCAUUGUCACUUUGACUUGGAAACUAAUGGUAGCCUUGUAGUUCCCUUUUCCAUCUCCCUUCAGGUCCAACUCACAUGCAAGUCACUGAUCCCUCUUUUCUCACAUAUCUCCCUUCUGUGCCUGACUUCCCGUAUCACUGUCACCUGUGACCCACACCCUCAUUUCACUUGAGAAUUACUCAAUGGCCUCCUAGUUGAUGUCUGCUUCUUGUCCUUCCUGUCUCCAAUCCAAUCCACUAGCACAGUCAGAUUCGUCUUUCUAAAAAUCUGCUCUGAUUAUGAUACUCUCCUUCUCAGGAAUCUUCAAUGGCUCCCAUGUGUCCAGAAAAUAAUCUACAUCCCUUGUGAUAUGGUUUGGGUGUGUCCCCACCCAAAUCUCACUUUCAACUGUAGUUCCCAUAAUCCUCACAUGUCAUGAGAGGGACCUGGUGGGAGGUAAUUGAACCAUGGGGUGAUGGUUUUAUAAGGGGCUUUUCCCCCUUUGCUUGGCUCCCAUUCUCUCUCCUGCCACCCUGUGAAGAGGUGCCUUCUGCCAUGAUUGUAUGUUUCCUGAUGCCUCCCCAGCCAUGCUGUAUGAGUCAAUUAAACCUCUUUCCUUUACAAAUUACCCAGUCUUGGUUAUGUCUUUAUUAGCAGCGUGAGAACAGACUAAUAUAUCUUGGCAUAGAAGUCAGAAUUCACUGGGGUAGGACCCUUAAGCUGCUUUUUCAGCUUUUCUCCUACCUCUCCUCCUACUGUCAACUCCCAUUUUUGCCCCACCACCUCUGCUUCCGUUGCACACUGCCACUCCCCAACUCCUCCACAUGACAGAUCCACUUUCUGCUUCCUCUGCGCAGUCUUGCUCAAGUGCUAUCUUCUUCAUAAUUGCUGUUUUCUGAAGUUUCUAAUCAGGAGUGAGUGUUUCCCUCUGGGUUCCUAUAACACAUAUGUUAUGGUUUGAAUAUUGUCCCCUCUAAAUCUCAUGUUGAAAUGUAAUUCCCAGUAUGAACCCUGAAUAUCUGAGACAGGGUCAAUGUAGAAAGCUUAUUUUGCCAAGGCUAAGGAUGCAUACCCGUGACUCAGCCUCAAGAGGUUCUGAUGACAUGUGCCCAAGGAGGCUGGGGCACAGCUAGGUUUUAUACAUUGUAGGGAGACAUGAGACAUCAAACAAUAUGUGUAAGAUGAAGAAUGGUUUGGUCCCAAAAGGAGAGACAACUGGAAGCAAAUAUGAGACAACUCGAAGCGGGGAGGGGGCUUCCAGGUCAUAGGUAGGUAAGAGACAAAUGGCUGCAUUAUUUUAAGUUUCUGAUUAGCCUCUCCAAAGGAGGCAAUCAGAUAGCAUUUAUCUCAGUGAGCAGAGGGAUGACUUUGAAUAGAAUGGGAGGCAGGUUUGCCCUAAGCGGGUCCCAGCUUGACUUUCCCUUUAGCUUAGUGAUUUUUGGAAUGCCAAGAUUUAUUUUCCUUUCACAGCAGUGUUGGAGGUGGAGCCUGGUGGGAGGGUGGUUUGUUGGGGGUGGGGGGGGGUGGGGCAGAUUUUUCAUGAAUGGUUGUGUGUCAUCCCCUUCGUGCUGACCUCAUGAUAGUGAAUUAUUUCUCAAGAGAUCUGGUAGCUUAACAUUGUGUGGCAACUUGCCCGCUUUUUCUCUUGCUCCCGCUGUAGCCAUGGGACAAGCUUGCUCCCUCUUUGCCUUCCACCAUAAUUGUAGGCUUCCCGAGGCCCUCACCAGAAGCUGAGCAGAUGCUGGGGCCAUGCUUCCUGGACAGCCUGCAGAACUGUUUCCCAUGCUGUGUUGCAGAGACAAUGCUCACUUUGGGGUGAGUAUCCGUUACAGAUGGCCAUGCCUUUUCAUCAUCAUCAGGAUGUAGCGAUAAAGUGGCCCUUCUCAGGCACACUGCCAGGAAACCUACAGUUCUCCUCGUAAUGGAGCAGUCUUCACAGCACUGUUCGUGUGACCCUCCUAUGACAGUCAUGGCAGGAAAGGAAAGCAGAAAGCUUCUGCAGUACUCAGCUGGGUCAAGGUAGAACUUCAAAGACCAAGCAGAAAGCUUCUGCAGUACUCAGCUGGGUCAAGGUAGAACUUCAAAGACCAAGCAGAAAGCUUCUGCAGUACUCAGCUGGGUCAAGGUAGAACUUCAAAGACCAAGCAGAAAGCUUCUGCAGUACUCAGCUGGGUCAAAGACCAGCUGCACUGGAGAAGAUGGCCCUGUUCACCCUGUGGAACAGCCUGGAGGUCAUGGCUACAAACCUACCUUCUCGUAGCAGAGACAUGACACUAGGUCAGACGGCUAGUUCUGCGAGAAAUAAAAAUGACAGUUGGACAUUUGGUAUCCUAUAGAACGAGUAUCUGUUUACUGAAUUUUUACGCUAUCAUCUGGUGGUUUUGGCAUUACUGGGAUGCAAUUUUAGUUUUUUUGUGUGCAGAGAAUAGCCACUUGUUUGGGUUUCUGAGGUCAUUUCUCACAUUUCUGCUCCAGAAAUGAGUGCAUUCCAUAAAUAUAUUUUUACUGCAAAGUCUAAUUUGCUUGCUUUCUUAAUGUGAGCCCAUCUCCUUUCUAAAAUCCUGGUUUUCUCAAAAAUGCUAGUUAGUUGCUGUCUUCUUACUAAUGUUGACAACAUCUUAUCAUCAAAUACUUACUUUGUAUUCUGUCCAGCCCUGUCCCUGGCAUAUAAUAAAUAUUUUAGAGGCUCUUUCUACUGCAGUUUCUUCCAAAAUUCCAUUUAUUUGAGGUUGAUGAGCUUCCUUUUUCUUUUUGUUUUUUGGUUUGUUUGUUUUUUGUAGAGACAUGGUCUCGCUUUGUCACCCAGGCUGGAGUGCAGUGGUGUGAUCAUAGCUCACUGUAGCCUCAAACUCCUGGGCACAAGCGACCCUCCAGCCUCAGCCUCCCAAGUAGCUGGGACUACAGGUCCACUGCCACACCCAGAUAAUCUUUAAAAUUUUUUUAGAGAUGGAGUCUUGUUAUGUUGCCCAGGCUAGUCUUGAACUCCUGGUCUCAGGUGAUUCUCCCACCUUGGCCUCCUGAGUAGCUGGGAUUACAGAUGAGAGCCACUACACCCGGCUUGAGGAGCUUCAUGAUAAAAAGAUGCCAUGGAGUGGCUCCUGUGCCUGUGUCCCAGGAGCCACUGCGUGGCCUGGCUUCAAGAUCAGGCCAGAAAAACUGGUUUAUUCUUGCAGUGGCUCACAUAUUCUCCAUGGAACCAACUCAGUCAGCUCUUGUAGGUUGAACCGUCUUGCCCAAAAGAUACGUUGAAGUUUUAACCUCAGUGUCUGUGAACGUGACCUUCAUUGGAAGUACAGUCUUUGCAGAUGUAAUGUAGCUAAGAUGAGGUUAUGCUGGGGAGGACACCCAAAUAACUGGUGCCCUUAUACGAAGAGGAAAAGAGAAACGCAGACAUGCAUGGAGAGAAGGCCAUGUGAAGGCAGAGGCGGAAUGAGAGUCAUUAAUAUAAGCUAGGGGCACCUAGGAUUGCUGGACACCGCCAGAAGCUGGAGGGGAAAGGAAGGAUUCUCCCCUAGAGCAUUCAGAGGGAGCACAGCAUGGCAGACACUUUAAUUUUGGACUUCUGGCCUCCAGAACUAGGUCCACAACCCAGAUCUGAUGUCAAAAGCAUUGGGUAGCUUUUGCAAAACAUUUUGCCGAUAUGGAAACCAGCAGGAGUCCACGCUGGCUCCAGCAUGACCGAUAGCUCCAUCAGUGUUAUUUGAUGAGCAGAAUGUAGGUGACGUGUUGGCCUAUGGGGCUGUGUUAUGUGUUAUGGGGCUAUGAUAGUCUGCAUAAACCUAAGAAUUUCUUAAAAGUCUGUUAGAUAUUCAAGGUUAGCAUAUCGGCCGUAAGGCUAGGUUAAACAAUAGUGGUGAGCAGCUCCUGCCUGUCAGUUUAAAAAAAACAAGGCGUAUUUCCUGUCCAUGCGCUUGAUAAUUUUCUUGUCUGCAUUUUUGUCUCUCCAGAACCCAGUAUAAAAGAACAACCACCAGGUAAAAGAAAAAAAAAAUUGCUGGUUAUUGGGGCAAAAGGAAAGAAGAGAGGGUGACAAGUUUCACUCUGACUCUUGCUGCUUCCAUCUGAAAGAGGUGCAUCAGCACUCCCCCUUCCUUUACUGGCCAGAGCCACACCCCACUUUAGGAGGGCAAGCAAUUGCAAUCUUACAGUCCUUAGAAGAAAAAUCCAGAUAGCACUAAUGACUUUCACAGGUAUAAAUAAUGCAGAUCGGCAACUCUGGACAGCCAGUGGAGGUGAUGGCAAAACUCCAGACAGCCUUUUCUAAUUUCUCCUAAGUGAGUGAGUGAGUGGUGCCUGUGUGUACACGCAAGUAAAGAGCUAAGGUUGAAACAGGUAACUCCAAGGACAGCAAAAAAGCAAUGCCCUUCUCCAUCCCCAUCCCUCCAAUAAACCUCUUAUGUAUCCAGGUACUUAACCACAAUAGAACUGUUUAAUUUAUGUUCUAAGAACCCCACUGUCAGCCUGAAAAUGAGCUGUGGACAGCUUCUGGAUAUCACAGCAGAGCUUUUCUAAGUUAGAGAGAUGGCAAGCAGAAUUGAACUGUCUUAUUCCAGGAGGCGGGAAGGCAGCUGUCCGCUUAGGACACCAGCAGGAAGCAUGGUGGCGUGGUGAGAAACGGAAGGGUUUUCUGGUAGGAAAGCAAUUCCCACCCUCUGGGCCUCUAAUAUUAUGUAAUGAUUUUAUCUGUUGUGGAAGGACUUCAGGGAAAUGAGUAUAUUUCUUCGCUCUUCACCCAGAGGGUAAUCCUUAAGAAGAGAGUGAUCAUUUUUAAUACAUCUUCCCAGAUCUACCAAUCUUUUGCAUGAUGAUUGCUUUAUUGAGAUUGCAAACUGUUCUUGCAUCAGGGCAGACACGUCAGCUGCUGCCUCCCAUGCAGCCAGGAAGAAAUUGACAGUCUGCACUUCCUCGGGUUAGCUUCCCAUUAAUUAAGGCUUCACACAGAACUGACCUCUUCCUUUGGUUAUUCACAUGGAUUUUUGUGAAUCAUGCUGUUUACAAAUAAGGCUAAAUCUAAAUGCCAUGCUUACAUCUGACUGUCCAAAUCCAGGCCUAUUUUUAAUUGCUGGCUGCAGUGAAAGAGAGAAUUCGUGGGCAGAGACGGCAAGAGUAAUGAAAUGGAAGAGGUCUACAAUUCAGUUUCCUAUAAAAUAACUUCAAGAGCUAUAUCAACUUCCCUUGGCUAACUGAAGGUUCUGGAAUUCAAAUGUCUGAAAUGGAUUAACUAUGAAUUUGCCUGUGUUCCUAGCCAUUUCCUCAAAUUCAAGCUUUUACUUUCAGAAUGUCAACAAGAGCAGCUUAUCUUGUGCAAAAUCUGAGAUUCCUUACUUAGGUUGAUGAAGAUGGGGAAAAAUAAAG
rnacentral:lncRNA from 1 species